rnacentral:tRNA from 1 species
GGGGUUGUGGCUUAGUGGUGGAGUGCUUGCCUCACAUGUAUGAGGCACUGGGUUCGAUCCUCAGCACCA